CCCUUAGAUGUUCUGGGAUGCACGCGCGUUACACUGAUUCGUUCAACGAGUUUAUGACCUUGCCUGAUGAGGUGGGGGAAUCUUUUCAAAUCGCAUCGUGAUGGGGAUAGAGUAUUGUAACUGUUAGUCUUCAACGAGGAAUUCCUAGUAAGUACGUGUCAUCAGCUCGUACUGAUUAUGUCCCUGCCCUUUGUACACACCGCCCGUCGCUCCUACCGAUUGAGUGCUCAGGUGAAUAGUAUGGACUGCAUCAGUGUUCGGUCUCCGAAUGUUGACGCGAGAAAUUCUGUGAAUCUUAUUGCUUAGAGGAACGAGAAGUCGUAACA
rnacentral:rRNA from 1 species